GUGGCAGCAGGGCUACCCCAGUAGUUACCCUAUGUGACGUUAUUGAUAUAAUCUGGGACCAUAUAGAACAUGGUUGCAACCAAGGUCCCGUAGUGGCACCAAAUCUUAUGUAAAGGGGGUCAUAUAAAGUGUCUAAGACCAGGUUAUGGGUUGCUGGUUAUGAUUAUGCUGUCUGUAUGCAUGUGUCAUUUUGUAGUUGAAGUUAUGAAUAUUGGCUUUAUACUGUCUGUGUUUCAAACUUAGGCUGUGCUUCUGGGAGACAUCCCAGACAAGUUGGUGUUAGCUCUGCCUAGCCUGCUUGAUGGCCUAUUAAGGAUCAUCAGCUAUACAACUGACCCAUUGAGAGAAGGCAGAUACGCCUUGUAACUCAGCAAAGUGCAGGAGCUUGUCCAUGUGACUCCAGACUCCACUUUGCUGUAAUUUUCCACAGUAAGGACAAAGAGGUUCUUAUACCUGGAAAAGCCUAUAAAAGGCUGAUGCCUCAUCUCCAUGUUGUCUUCAAUCCUGCUUCUUACCUUUGGAGGGACUUUGCUACAAACUGAAGCUCUGAACAAAGGACUGAAUGACCCAUCCCAGAGGGGGAUGUACUCCAGAUACUUGAUUUGAACCUGCAGUUUAUUCUAUCACUGCUACAAGCCUGAACCAAGAACUUUGCCAUCACUGUGGCCAGGGAAUGAGCCUGACAAGACCAUGCAUGCUCCAUGUUGGCGGAAAAAGAAGUCAAGCAACUGGAGUGUUAUCACCCACCACUGACGCACUGAUUUAGCACUCCUCAAUUCUUCCAUCAGCGGCCCUCUGAGCCGCCUCACAAAUGACCGAAGACCCAACAGCCCCGUUCUCCAGGUUCAUCUCCACAGCCUUUGGCAUCUCAUACGCAGUCUUUGCAGAAGUGAUAUUUCUCAGUGCAUCUAGAGCACUGGCAACCACCUUGCCUCAUGCCACACACCCUCCUCACCCCCUUCAGGGGGCAUCUUCUUACCCACUUGGAGUGCAGUAACAGGCAAGUGGGUCCUGGAUGUCAUUCAACAUGGCCAUACGAUCGAGUUCACGGAGCUACCUCCCUCACGUCCCCCGGCCACACCUCAGGGACCAUUCUCGGGGCCGUGUCCUUGUGAUGUUGCACUGCAUACGAUUUUUAUGAAAAUAUGCUAGUGAGUGUGAAUAUAAUGUAAUUGGAAUAUUCUUUCAUGCAAAAGGUCUCUUGUAAGGUAUCAUUACAAAGCUUAUAAUCUACUAAUAUGAAAUAUAACUCUGAGGGCCUAUUGUAAUUAUGCAAAGUGUGGGCCAUUAAUGGUGGUUUUGGACUCUUGAUGGCUCCCAUUAACCAGGACAAUCGACUGUGGAUGGCUCUGUUUGUUUGCAGGCCUUCCUGUGAGUCAGGCUGCGGAAUGAAGGCUUGGGGUCUCACAGGACAUGUGACCAUAUCACCUGGUACUGUCUGGAACCCACCUUAAACCUAGUGUUUUUCCAUUCAGAAGGAGGCAUGGGGACCUAGAGAGACAAAAGAUUCCCGUCUUGUGCCAAAGCUAUAAAAGGGAGUGAAACAGAACAUGGGGGGGGGGGGGGGUGCAGUUAUGAGAAAUCCCCUAGCUACCACCUGAGCUAACAAGAACUGUACCAGGGAAAGGAUUGGGCCCAGACUAGGAAGGAGUCCAAUCUCUGAAAGAAGCUUAUUGAAACAUCUCUGAGGGUGAGAGUUUAUCUGGAUUCAGAGUCCUGUAGCACCUUAUGGACUAACAGAUGUAUUGGAGCAUGAGCUUUCGUGGGUGAAUACCCACUUCAUCAGACACAAGCUUAUGCUCCAAUACGUCUGUUAGUCUAUAAGGUGCCACAGGACUCUGUCGCUUUUUACAGAUCCAGACUAACACGGCCACCCCUCUGAUAUCUGGAUUCAGUUUUCUACUGUAUUAGGCUUGGACUUGCAUGUUUUUGUUUUAUUUUGCUUGGUAACUUGCUUUGUUCUGUCUGUUAUUACUUGAGAACACUUAAAUCCUCUUUUUUAUAUUGAAUAAACUCACUUUUUUGCUUAUUAAUUAA